UACGUAGGGUGCAAGCGUUGUCCGGAAUUAUUGGGCGUAAAGAGCUCGUAGGCGGUCUGUCGCGUCGGCUGUGAAAACCUGGGGCUCAACUCCGGGCCUGCAGCCGAUACGGGCAGACUAGAAUUCGGUAGGGGAGACUGGAAUUCCUGGUGUAGCGGUGAAAUGCGCAGAUAUCAGGAGGAACACCGGUGGCGAAGGCGGGUCCCUGGGCCGAUAUUGACGCUGAGGAGCGAAAGCGUGGGGAGCGAACAGG
rnacentral:rRNA from 1 species